rnacentral:rRNA from 1 species
GACGGAGGGUGCUAGCGUUGUUCGGAAUCACUGGGCGUAAAGAGCGCGCAGGCGGUCGUAUAAGUCGAAUGUGAAAGCCCCUGGCUCAACUAGGGAGAGUCAUUCGAUACUGUUCGACUCGAAGGCAGGAGAGGGAAGUGGAAUUCCGGGUGUAGUGGUGAAAUGCGUAGAUAUCCGGAGGAACACCAGUGGCGAAGGCGACUUUCUGGCCUGUUCUUGACGCUGAGGCGCGAAAGCUAGGGGAGCAAACGGG